rnacentral:rRNA from 1 species
UACGUAGCAGCGAGCGUUGUUCGGAGUUACUGGGCGUAAAGGGUGUGUAGGCGGUUUUCUAAGUUUGGUGUGAAAUCUCCCGGCUCAACCGGGAGGGUGCGCCGAAAACUGGGAGACUAGAGUGCGGGAUGGGAGAGUAGAAUUCCUGGUGUAGCGGUGAAAUGCGUAGAUAUCAGGAGGAAUACCGGUGGUGUAGACGGCUCUCUGGACCGAUACUGACGCUGAGGAGCGAAAGCGUGGGGAGCGAACAGG